rnacentral:lncRNA from 1 species
UCCCUACCACCUCCAGACAUACUGUGACAAUACCACAGGGCCCUUAAGGUCAAGCCAGAGGAGUGAACUUUACCAGAGGCCACUACAGGUUAUUUCUGCUCCCUCCCCUGUGUAUGUGUAAAUGUGUGUGUUAUAUUCAGUAUGUGGUGUAUGCACAGAUACAUGUGUGUGUAUGUGUGUGUACACAUGCAUGUGUGUGUGUGUCCAUGUGGAGCCCAGAGGUUAUCACUGAGUGUCUUUCUUUGGUAUCUUGCCAUCUUUAUUUGGGGUGGGGACAGGGUCUUACUGAACUUCAAGCCACUGACUUGCUUAGCCUGACAGGCCUCUGAGCUUCAGGGAUCUGUGCGGCUCCGGUCUCCAUCCCUCAGCACUGGCUGCCAUGUCAGGUUUUCCCCAGGGGGUCUGGACAGCCACACUCAGAGCUUCUUGCCUGCAUGGCAGACACUUUUCCGAGCUAUCUUUCCAAUCCAUUAUUUCCUUUCUUACCCAACCUUGGUUUCCUAAGAUUCUGAAACCCCACCAUCCUCAGGCCACCUCAGGGACAACAGACAGAAGCUCCUGUUACAGUGUCAUUCCCCGUUCAGGCUGUGUGUCUUCCUGGAGUCUGCCUAGUCUAUGGCCAGAGCUGGAAGCAACAGACACCCCUCCCCAACAGCUCUAUAAGGUGGAGACCAGAAGAGGUGCCUGCAGGGUUGGCGUUUGAUGAGGCCUCCUCUGAGGGCCAUGUUUUGGGCUGGAAGAGGAUAGCCUUCUAGAAUCUUCUCAUAGGCACUGUCCCAUUAGUGAGGGCUCAAUCUUCAUGGAUGAAUUGUUUCCCAAAGGCACCAUCAAUAAACACGGCUGUUGGGUCAGAUUUCCACAUAUGAAUUUGGAGGCAGGGCAAGCAUUCAGUGUAUAGAUGGGAGAACAGGUCUUACCUUUUGGCCUCUUCCUGGGAUACUUAGUGCAUUAGACAGAUAGUGCUAGUCUAUUAAGUCUCAGUGGCUCUCCACAUGUAGUUGACAUGGUACCUUAGAGACACUGUUUAAAUUCAAAUAUGCUAUUUCCAAAAUGCCCCAUCUUCAGGGAAUUCUGAUUACUUAUCCUUCCAUACCAUCUAGACAGAGGUGCUAAUGCAGGAAGCUCCAGGCGACUUGCUGACUAGGUGAUUAUGUCAUCUCCGCAUGGAUGGAAGCUGCUUUUCACAUAGUCUGUGCAUGUCCAGGCAGAUGAAACCAUCGAGGCUAAGGGCUGGACCACAGAACUCUGCCUCCUUAAGCCUUGUGUUCAGCACAGGGCAUCCCUCUACUCUGUUUGGAUAUUCCAGUAAAUUCUCAUGCAAAUUCUGUGUCCGCCAGCUACUUGGAUCAGCUGUGCAAGCCUUGUGCUCACCAGUCUGUCUCUUCCUGGUGCGUUAGAAUGAUGGUGGGGUCAAAGAUGCACAGUGGAGCAUUGUGGGUUCUCAGCUUUGAGAGCAGUCAGCCCCUAUCUGUAAUUGGUUCCAGGGAGACAGGAGACAGAUACUGCUGGUUUGAGUCUCACUCUAGCUGGGUGACCAUAAGCAAAUUGCUUCUCAGUAUUUAUGCGGCUCUGUAAAGAGAUGCAUAACUCCUUUGAGAAUAGUUGCUGGGAUUACUUGACACGUCAGAACUACUGAUACUGGAGUGUCUUCCUGCCCGAGUUUAUUGGUCAUGAACGUGAUAGGAAGAGACAAGGUAAAGGGGAGGGGGGAGGGGAGGAAGGUUUCAUUAGCAUAAUGGAGUGCUUCCCCUUUCUGUGGCAAUGCUCCCUGCUCACCCCCUGAAGUACCACAGCCCCAGCUUCCUGUUCUCCCUGGUGGUAAUUGGCCCUUAGCCACCACUUGCACCCCUCACCUGACUGUUGCAAACCACGUUUCCUCGAUAUCUCUCCAUCUAGUCAGUUCUCACCUGCACAUUUUUUUUUCUGGGUCAGAGGCUCAUGCAGGAGUGGGUCGCUAUCUGUCUAUCAGGAGGUGGCUUUGCUCUGCAUGAGGUCAUUCAGCAAGGCUUCAAGAACCUUGGUAGGCUCCCUAGUAACAGACACCAAGGUCUGAAGGCCACCCUGUCUUCUUCGCUUUUUAUAUGGAGAGCUCCCAAGUGACAGCUCUGCUGCGGACAUCUUAGUUCUUCAGGGCUGUCACCCAGUCUUAACUAUGCUGGCACUGGCUAGUGUCCCUUGUACCCUUGGAGAUCAAGGGCAUGAAGCAGGUCCUCUGAGGGAGCAGGGAGGUCAAGGCUGCCCUGUAACCUUGGGCACCAGUUGCUACAAACGCUGUUCAUGUUUCUAGUAUGGAAAGAAUUGUGCUAACUGCCAUUAUCUGCCCCUGUUGCUUGCUCUGUGCUGAGGGAAGGUCUGAGCCAGUAACAAGUGCACAUUCAUUGAAUUGAUGGAGUAAAAUUUUAAACUAACACAUUCCUGCCUCACAGAGAAACAGUAUCUUCUGCUAUUGCUGUUUCGAGACAGGGUUUCACUAUGUAGCCCUGACUGGCCUGGAACUCUCUAAGUAGACCAGACCAACCUCAGACUUACUGAGAUCCUCCUGUCUCUGCCUUCUGAGUGCAGGGAUUUAGGGUUUGGGCCUGAUGUCCAGCUUAGUAAUUAUUUCUUAUUGCUGACCGACCAUUUCCAGGCUGGGUGCAGUAAUGAGGAAUUUACACAGGGAGGGGAUUCCUUCAACUGCCUCUCUCAAACCUGUGAGAAUCAGUAUCCUCUUUAUAUAAGAAAUAUUUUGGUAUGAUACUUUACUAGUAUAGCGAGAUAUAAGGUACAAUAUGCAAAACAUAUGAAACUGAGGAAGAACGAAGACCAAAGUGUGGACACUUUGCUCCUUCUAGAAUUGGAAACAAUCACCCAUGGAAGGAGUUACAGAAACAAAGUUUGGAGCUGAGACAAAAGGAUGGUCCAUCUAGAGACUGCCAUAUCCAGGGAUCCAUCCCAUAAUUAGCCUCCAAACGAUGACACCAUUGCAUACACUAGCAAGCCUUUGUUGCAAGGACAGUGAUAUAGCUGUCCCUUGUGAGACUAGGCCGGGGCCUAGCAAACACAUAAGUGGAUGCUCACAGUCAACUAUUGGAAGGAUCACAGGGCCCCCAAUGGAGGAGCUAGAGAAAGUAUCCAAGGAGCUAAAGAGAUCUGCAACCCUAUCGGUGGAACAACAUUAUGAACUAACCAGUA